UACGUAGGUGGCGAGCGUUGUCCGGAUUUAUUGGGCGUAAAGAGCUCGUAGGCGGCCUGUUGCGUCCGCUGUGAAAUCCCGGGGCUCAACCCCAGGCCUGCAGUGGAUACGGGCUGGCUAGAGGCAGGCAGGGGAGAACGAAAUUCCUGGUGUAGCGGUGAAAUGCGCAGAUAUCAGGAGGAACACCGGUGGCGAAGGCGGUUCUCUGGGCCUGUACUGACGCUGAGGAGCGAAAGCGUGGGGAGCGAACAGG
rnacentral:rRNA from 1 species